UAUAUAGAUAAUGUGCCUCUUNAGUCUGGGAUAGCCAUUGGAAACGAUGAUUAAUACUAGAUACUCCUUGUAAUCAUAAGAUUAUUCGGGAAAGUUUUUUCGCUAAGAGAUCAGUCUAUAUCGCAUCAGUUAGUUGGUGGGGUAANCGGCCUACCAAGACAAUGACGCGUAGCGGGUUUGAGAGGAUGAUCCGCCACACUGGUACUGAGACACGGACCAGACUCCUACGGGAGGCAGCAGUGAGGAAUAUUGCACAAUGGGGGAAACCCUGAUGCAGCAACGCCGCGUGGAGGAUGACGCAUUUCGGUGUGUAAACUCCUUUUAUGAGUCAAGAAAAUGACGGUAGCUCAUGAAUAAGCACCGGCUAACUCCGUGCCAGCAGCCGCGGUAAUACGGAGGGUGCAAGCGUUACUCGGAAUCACUGGGCGUAAAGGACGCGUAGGCGGGUUAUCAAGUCAGGUGUGAAAUCCUAUGGCUCAACCAUAGAACUGCACUUGAAACUGGUAACCUAGAGUAUGGGAGGGGCAGAUGGAAUUAGUAGUGUAGGGGUAAAAUCCGUAGAUAUUACUAGGAAUACCGAAAGCGAAGGCGAUCUGCUGGAACAUAACUGACGCUAAGGCGUGAAAGCGUGGGGAGCAAACGGGAUUAGAUACCCCGGUAGUCCACGCCCUAAACGAUGAACACUAGUCGUCGGGGAGCUAGUCUCUUCGGUGAUGCACUUAACAGAUUAAGUGUUCCGCCUGGGGAGUACGGUCGCAAGAUUAAAACUCAAAGGAAUAGACGGGGACCCGCACAAGUGGUGGAGCAUGUGGUUUAAUUCGAAGAUACGCGAAGAACCUUACCUAGCCUUGACAUUGAUUGAAUACCCUAGAGAUAGAGUAGUGCCCUUCGGGGAACAUGAAAACAGGUGCUGCACGGCUGUCGUC
rnacentral:rRNA from 1 species